rnacentral:tRNA from 1 species
UUGGGAGAGCGCUUGAAUGGCAUUCAAGAGGUCGUCGGUUCGAUCCCCGAUUAUCUCCA